rnacentral:rRNA from 1 species
AUGAAUACGGCAAAUAUGGCUCUCCUACCCAAGAAAGAUGAAGCUCGAGAUGCAUGUGAUUUCCGCCCUAUUAGUUUGAUGCACAGUGUUCCCAAGCUCCUGAGUAAGAUGUUGGCAGCUAGGCUGGCACCGGUGAUUCACAAACUUGUCUCCCACAACCAAAGUGCUUUCAUCAGAGGGCGAUUGGUUCAGGAUAAUUUUUUGUAUGUCAAGAAUGUGAUUAAGGCUGCUCAUUCCGGGAAUUCUCCGCUGGUGUUUUUGAAGCUUGACAUGGCCAAAGCUUUUGACUCAGUGUGUUGGAGCUACCUGCUGGAGGUAAUGGAGGCAAUGGGCUUUGGUCAGAGAUGGAGGGAUAUGAUAUCUAUAAUUUUUGCGUCUUCUUCCUCUAGAGUACUGCUGAAUGGAUCACAAGGUUCUCCAUUUGUGCAUAGACGAGGGCUGCGGCAGGGAGACUCCGUGUCGCCUCUGCUUUUUAUUCUUGCUAUGGAGCCCCUGCAACGGAUGCUUUCGAUGGCCACAGAGAGGGCGGUGCUUACACCAUUGAGAAUUAGGGUUGCUCGUUUGCGAUCCAGUUUCUACGCCGAUGACGCGGCUUUGUUCAUCAACCCGGUGGCCCAAGAUUUUGCUGCUGUUCAUGCCAUCCUAAAAGUCUUUGGGGACGCUUCUGGCCUGCGGGUCAACAUCGGCAAGACCGUGGCAUAUCCUAUCUCCUGCGCUGAAAUUAAUGUUGAGAAUAUAUUGAAUGAUUUUGGUGGGAUACUGGGAUCUUUCCCAUGUCAAUAUUUGGGACUGCCACUUGGUUUCGUAAACCGUGGAGGGCAGAGCUUCAACCGGUCCUUGACAAAUUUGCGGGGAAGCUUGCUCCUAGGAAGGGGAGGUUAUUAA